rnacentral:lncRNA from 1 species
CAGAGAUGCUGCUCAGCAUUUGUGCAUCAUGAGAGUGGCAUGUGACUGUACUGGUAGAUGGCAGAGAGAAUAAGGACCUACUAUCACAGAGGAGACUCUGCUGCAAAGAGAGUAUACUGCUGCAAGUAUUGCCAUCCUUGGGUUUCUCCACUGCAACUCAGAGAGUCCUGGGGCCCCUGUACCUCUCCUACUUUGGGGACACUGGCAGAAUAAAGGUGGUGAGUAAAGAACAAAUGUGUUCUUAUUGUUUAAGAAAGAUUCCUGAAUAUGCAAGGUUUUCUUUCUAGUAAGUAGGGAGUUAAUUCAUAAUUGCUGUUCUGCUUUGCUCUAAUUGUUUGAGGUUAUUUCUAUCAAGAGUCAUAGUGAUUUUGUACCUGGUAACACCAUAAAAGUGUGGCCAUGCAUAAUUCUUACCUAAUUGUGUUUCAAGGCUAUAUCUCAUUACGAUUAAUUAACAUGCUUUUUGGGCAAGAAGGAAAAUGUUUUAUUUAAUAAUACAGUAAACAAACUACCAACAUAGCAAUGUUUAGUGAACCGUCAGUGGAAGUAGUUGUUUUCAGAUUCAAAAGUAUCACACCUAAGUAAUUAUUUUCAGGAGCAAUCUUUUUAUUCCUAUCUUGCUUUGUA